GCCUGGGUGGCUCAGUCGGUUGAGCGUCCGACUUCGGCUCAGGUCAUGAUCUCGCGGUUCGUGAGUUCGAGUCCUGCAUCAGGCU
rnacentral:tRNA from 1 species